rnacentral:tRNA from 1 species
AAGGGCUUAGGCUCGAUCAAACCAGGGGCCUUCAAAGCCCCCAACGGGAGUGAAAAACUCCCAGCCCUUG